rnacentral:lncRNA from 1 species
CAAGAAAAGAAAAUAAUUUGCUGGUGCUCAUGCCUGGUUCUUCCUCAGAGGGAUGAGGGGGGAACAAUGGCAACAGCUAUAGGAAACAGUGCUCAGGAGGCCCUGUGAGGUAGCUGUGGUUUCCGUGGCUCUUUACAGAAGAGGAAACAGUCUCAGGGAGGCCCGGCUGCAUGAGUGGGUGACACACACAGGGAGCGUGGAGCUGGCCGGUGGUAUGAGCACGGUGCCAGGUGACUCACGCCAGUCCCUGGGGAUCCAAGUGUGGGGUGGCUGGGGCGUAACUGGGGGGAGAGAGGAGAGCCUCACUGUCUCCGUCACUGGCACCUGGCAGGCGGGGAGCUUUAAGGUGGCCACCCAGGAGAGGAACCCCAGAGAGCCCAGAUGAGGCUGCGGAGGCAGAAGAAGGUGAGUGAGCCUUUGGCGUGGAGAGGCCGCAGGGGAUCAGAGGACAGGGCUCCCUUCCCUGCCAGCUGGAGGCCUCCAUGUGAAGACCGCAAGGACUUACUCUCCAGUCCUGUUCUCCUGUGGACACUGGGCCUGGAAAACCUCCAUUUGAGAGACCAGAGCAAGGGUCUGGGAAAGCUGGACUCAGAGUGGAUGUGGGGAAGGGGAGUGGUCCCCUUCCUGGAGGAUUUUCUGACUGAGUUACACAGAUUGGAUAUGGCCAUCCCAGACGAUCUGGAUGGCAACACCAACAAGAGGAGGAAGGAGGUCCGAGUUCUGCAGGAAAUGCAGCUGCUCCAAGUGGCUGCCAUGAAUUACAGGCUUCGGCCUCUUGAGAAAUUUGUCACCUAUUUCCCAAGAAUGGAGCAGCUCAGUGACAAGGAGAGGUGAGGGCCUAGGUGAUGGGCAGAGGGUGGGAGAAGGCUCUCC